ensembl:lncRNA PLCG1-AS1 PLCG1 antisense RNA 1
GAGUCUGGGAGGGCCCGAAAGUUUGCCCAAGUCGCUGGGGCGGCCGGCCGGGGUGCAAGCAGUCGGGCCGGGCUCCCACGACCCCCGCGCGGGGCGGGCCCAGGCAGGAAGUGGGCGCACUUACUGGCCCCCUCGAUCUUGUCGGCGCCCCGGCUCCACGUGAUCUGGCGCGUCUCCAGCUUGACCUGGAAGGUCUUCCGCUCGGGUCGCUGCGACUUCUUGGAGUAGAACAAAGUCAUGACGGUGCCCACCUCGAGGCUGCGGCAGAGCACCGCCAAAAUUGAGGACACCCACGGUCGCGGUGGAGCCUGUCUGACAUGUUGAGCCAGGCAGUGGGUCGGCUGCCAGGCACAGCAGGACAACUUACUGCAUUUCAGAGGAAUGAUGGUCCACAAUUUACUGAUGAGGAAACAGAGAUUCAGAGAAGUUCUACAAUUUGCCCCAAAGCCACAUAACAUGACUAGGUGGGAACUAGAACCCAAGUCGGCCUGACUCCAUGAGUUUUCUGCCUCACAGGAGAUCCACUGGCUUAGAGUUUCUCUCUCGUCGCCCAGGCUGGCGUGCAAUGGCACAAUCUUGGCUCACUGCAAUCUCCGCCUCCCGAGUUCAAGCAGUCCUGCCUCAGCCUCCUGAGUCUCUUUUGAUUUGGUGCUGUCACAGGUUGGGUUCUUUGGAUGUGGACUCUGUGACAGGCUGGCUGGGCUUCUGCACCAAGGAUCUAGGAUUCUCUCAAAUAAGCUGAGAUGGAGGUGGAGGCAGAAGCCACCCCGCUUAGAUCCAGCAGGAGAUGGCUGGCCUCCAAGAAGUAUGCUUGUCCCUGCAGUGUUCAAUGCCCUGAACAAGCUUUCUUGACUACUUUUAGAAAAUAAACUAUCCACCUAGGUCUUCCAGGCAAGGUCUCACAAAACCAUCUCAAGAAGACAAGGAAUCCACUGGAGAAGGCUGCCUUUGACCACCUCUCCUCUUUCCCUAAUUCAAUCACACUUCAGUAAUGGGUAAAAAUCUAAUUUAACUGAUUGUAGAUGACAUUCUUUGGAUGACUUUUUAAAACUAGUAGGCCCACUAUAUUGUCUCUCUAAUAUAGCUGCUAUCCAUUCAGCAGAGUGGUUGGGUGGAAUCAGGAUCUGGAUUCAAGAUUACAAAGUUGGGGGUGAGAAGGCAAAUUGGAUUCUGUUUUCUAGUAACUUUCUCAGACGUUUGUAAUGGGGAAGAGGACAUUUGCCAGUAUUCUUACAUGACUAUUUCCCUUCUCAGUCAAUUUCCACCAAGCAACCACUGAUCCUUCAAUCUGAUUACUAUCAUCAUGGAUAAAUUUUGCCUAGUCUAGAUUAUAUAAAUAGAAUCAUACAAUAUAGACUCCUCUGUCUGCCUUUUUAACUUUUUUUUUUCCCUCUGAGACAGCGUCUCGCUCUGUCACCAGGCUGGAGUACAGUGAUGCAAUCUCGGCUCAGUGCAACCUCUACCCCUCAGGUUCAAGCGAUUCCCAUGUCUCAGCCUCCUGAAUAGCUGAGAUUACAGGUGUGCGCCACCCUCGGCUAAUUUUUGUAUUUUUUUGUAGAGACGGUGUUUCGCCAUGUUGGCCAGGCUGGUCUCGAACUCCUGACCUGAAGUGAUCCACCCGCCUUGGCCUCCCAGAGUGCUUGGAUUACAGGCAUGCACCAACCGCACCUGGCCCUUAACCAUGUUUUUAAGAUUCAUCCAUGUUGUUGAAUACAUAAGUAGUUCCCUUCUUAACUGCUGAUAAAUAUAGUAUAUUCUAUGACUAUACCAUAAUGUGUUAUCUAUUCUGGGAUGUUUCCAGUUUUGCACUCUUAUGAAUAGAGCACUGCUAUGAACAUUCUUGUACAAGUUUUUUCAUGGAUAAAUGUUUUUAUUUCACUUGAGGUAAAAAUACCUAGAACUGGAAUUCGUAUCUCCCUGUGGUUAAAUCUUCACUCCACUGAUAAUUAGUGAUGUCGAGCACUCUUUCAUUUGCUUAUUUAUUGACCAUUCCUGUAUCUUCUUUUGUAUAGUAUAUGUUCAAGUCUUUUGCUCUUUUUAUUAUGCGGAUGGGAUGUCUGUUUUUUUAUUAUGGAGCUACAGGAAUUCUUUGUAUAGUCUGGAUAUAAGCCCUUUCAGAUAAACAUGUUGCAAAUAUUUUCUUUUAGUCUGUAAAUUCUGUAUUUAUUUUAGCAGUG